GAGACACCAUGUUUAACUCCUGAACACUCAAGGAAGACCAGAUUUGUGAUCUGUCCAUAGGUCUGGCUAGUGGUGGCCGUUGUAAGGAAACCAAGACCAGGCUCCAGAUGUACGACUGGAUGCACAAGCGAUGAUCCAGCUUUCAAUCUUUGUGACAAUGUUCCAAUCCUAGCCAAUUUAAAUAAUCUGCCAGUAAAAAUUCCACCAGCCGCUCACAAACACUUCACGAGUCUGAAUAUAUAGCACCAACUGGAUCUAAUCAUCACUUUCGCUUGUUGAAUCCUGUUGGGAGGAGAGGAGCGGCAUACAAUAGCAACUUCUGAGAGCAGCUUGGUUCCACACAGCGCUCAGCUGAGGAUCUUCCCCAAGGACUCUUAAUUUGCCAGCAAGCCAUGGUCUUGGCACCAAGACUCUUAAUUUGCCAGCAAGCCUUGCUCUUGGCACGUGGAAGUCUUGGUCUUAAGAAGCUGCUCCCCCCUCCCUCAUACUGGAAGUGGGCCUGCCUGCUGCUUUGGAAGAGGGACUGGAAGCCAGGCCUGGAACUUUGCUAGCCUUCUUGGGCCUUCCAUGGGUGAGGCAGGCCUCAGCUAGAGCAUUGUGCCAAGUGGUGCUGUCUCCUUAAUCUGGCUCAACUCCAGGAUCUGUCCAUGGACCUCAGCAGCAUACCAGAGGGGAGGGAAGUGACCCACAGAGCACUUGUGUGCUGAUCCAGCCUCCCUCAAGUACCCUGGCCUGCCCACCUCAUCACAGGACCACCAGAGGAGCUAUCAGAGGGUUGCUAUACACCAGCCAAUGCACCAUCCCAGCCUACAGGAACCACUCACAAAAGCCUCGAACAUCCAUGGGACCAGCAGCAGGCCCUGGAAACUACCUCUCCAGUACCAUACCUACAGCUCUGGUCACACACAUCUCUCUUAAGCCCAAUCAAAGACUCAUGGCACACAGACUUGACUUGGCCCAGCCAUCGGAUACUAUGGCCACAUGAUUUUCUGCAGCUUGGACUCUGAGAGACCCUGGAGGACCACAAGAGAGAGAAAGAGAGAGCUGACUCCCACAAG